AUUGAACGCUGGCGGCAGGCUUAACACAUGCAAGUCGAGCGAGAGGCGGACGGGUGAGUAAUGUAUGGGGACUGCCCGAUAGCGGGGGUUAACUACUGGAAACGGUAGCUAAUACCGCAUACUAUCGGAUAACCCAUAUGGGAGUAGCUAGUAGGUGAGGUAAUGGCUCACCUAGGCGACGAUCCCUAGCUGGUCUGAGAGGAUGAUCAGCGACAUUGGGACUGAGACAGGGCCCAGACUCCGACGGAGGCAGCAGGGGGGAAUAUUGCACAAUGGGCUAAAGCCGGAUGCCGCCAUGCCGCGUGUAUGAAGAAGGCCCUAGGGUUGUAAAGUACUUUCAGUCGGGAGGCGUUACCGACAGAAGAAGCGCCAGCUAACUCCGUGCCAGCAGCCGCGGUAAUAC
rnacentral:rRNA from 1 species